AUUAAAGAGGAAAUGCAAGAGUGAUUGGAAGAUUUACCAAAUCACAGUGUCAGGAAGACAAUUCGGGCAGCAACGUGUACGAUGAUUGAGGGAAGACAUCAGAAUCAGCAGCAAGAGGGAUCCUCAAGCUCUAAAAAUAGCUCAGAUGGAAAAUGGAAGCAUUGAAAGUUUGCCUUUUCUUCACGCUUGUGUCCUAGAAUUACAGGUCUCUGAUGCUUAAGGAAACUUAUAGCACAUCUAACCCACCCAUGUAUUUUAUAGGAAAAAAUUACAUAAAUGAACUUCAAGAGUCUUCUCAACAACAUUUAGGUUAAUUUCUUUAUUUAAAAAAAA